UACGGGGGGGGCAAGCGUUGUUCGGAAUUACUGGGCGUAAAGGGCUCGUAGGCGGGUCUUUAAGUCAGGGGUGAAAUCCUGGAGCUCAACUCCAGAACUGCCUUUGAUACUGAGGAUCUUGAGUUCGGGAGAGGUGAGUGGAACUGCGAGUGUAGAGGUGAAAUUCGUAGAUAUUCGCAAGAACACCAGUGGCGAAGGCGGCUCACUGGCCCGAUACUGACGCUGAGGCACGAAAGCGUGGGGAGCAAACAGG
rnacentral:rRNA from 1 species